CGGGUGGUAAUGCCGGAUGCUCCAGUUGAUCGCAUGGUCUUCUGGGAAAGCCUUUGCGGCAUGGGAUGGGGUCGCGUCCUAUCAGCUUGAUGGCGGGGUAACGGCCCACCAUGGCUUCGACGGGUAGCCGGCCUGAGAGGGCGACCGGCCACAUUGGGACUGAGAUACGGCCCAGACUCCUACGGGAGGCAGCAGUGGGGAAUAUUGCACAAUGGGCGCAAGCCUGAUGCAGCGACGCCGCGUGAGGGAUGGAGGCCUUCGGGUUGUAAACCUCUUUUGUUAGGGAGCAAGGCAUUUUGUGUUGAGUGUACCUUUCGAAUAAGCACCGGCUAACUACGUGCCAGCAGCCGCGGUAAUACGUAGGGUGCAAGCGUUAUCCGGAAUUAUUGGGCGUAAAGGGCUCGUAGGCGGUUCGUCGCGUCCGGUGUGAAAGUCCAUCGCUUAACGGUGGAUCCGCGCCGGGUACGGGCGGGCUUGAGUGCGGUAGGGGAGACUGGAAUUCCCGGUGUAACGGUGGAAUGUGUAGAUAUCGGGAAAGAAACACCA
rnacentral:rRNA from 1 species